rnacentral:lncRNA from 1 species
AUUUGUCAUAGGGAUAGCGAUACGCAGACCUUGAAGAUGCAUUUUUAUGAGAACUGAAAAACUUAAAUCUUUUCGUGUAAAUAUUUUGGAAAGCUUCACAAUUUCCUCACUUUGCUGGACUUGUCUACUUGCUAUAAUUCCAGUGAAGCAUGCUGGGAAUACAGUAGGUGUCAGAACUCUGUAUAUCAGGAGUGUGAAAUACAAUGGUGAACCCUGAAGAGAUGUCUUCUGCCCUGUCUGAAUUUAAAAUCUAGUGGUGACCGGAGUGUGGUGACAUAUGCCU